GAAUUCACUAGUGAUUGAGUUUGAUCAUGGCUCAGAUUGAACGCUGGCGGCAUGCCUUACACAUGCAAGUCGAACGGUAACAGCACUUCGGUGGCUGACGAGUGGCGAACGGGUGAGUAAUACGUCGGAACGUGCCCGAGAGUGGGGGAUAACGCAGCGAAAGCUGUGCUAAUACCGCAUACGAUCUACGGAUGAAAGCAGGGGACCGCAAGGCCUUGCGCUCAUGGAGCGGCCGAUGGCAGAUUAGGUAGUUGGUGGGAUAAAAGCUUACCAAGCCGACGAUCUGUAGCUGGUCUGAGAGGACGACCAGCCACACUGGGACUGAGACACGGCCCAGACUCCUACGGGAGGCAGCAGUGGGGAAUUUUGGACAAUGGGCGAAAGCCUGAUCCAGCCAUGCCGUGUGCAGGAUGAAGGCCUUCGGGUUGUAAACUGCUUUUGUACGGAACGAAAAGGUCUUUUCUAAUAAAGAAGGCUCAUGACGGUACCGUAAGAAUAAGCACCGGCUAACUACGUGCCAGCAGCCGCGGUAAUACGUAGGGUGCAAGCGUUAAUCGGAAUUACUGGGCGUAAAGCGUGCGCAGGCGGGUUAUAUAAGACAGAUGUGAAAUCCCCGGGCUCAACCUGGGAACUGCAUUAGUGACUGUAUAGCUAGAGUGCGGCAGAGGGGGAUGGAAUU
rnacentral:rRNA from 1 species